rnacentral:tRNA from 1 species
AAGAGGUGUAUUAAUAAUUAGAGCUGCUAACUC